CUACGGGCGGCACCAGUGGGGAAUUUUGGACAAUGGACGCAAGUCUGAUCCAGCCAUUCCGCGUGCAGGAUGAAGGCCCUCGGGUUGUAAACUGCUUUUGUACGGAACGAAAAGGUCUCUCCUAAUACGAGGGGCUCAUGACGGUACCGUAAGAAUAAGCACCGGCUAACUACGUGCCAGCAGCCGCGGUAAUACGUAGGGUGCAAGCGUUAAUCGGAAUUACUGGGCGUAAAGCGUGCGCAGGCGGUUAUAUAAGACAGAUGUGAAAUCCCCGGGCUCAACCUGGGAACUGCAUUUGUGACUGUAUAGCUAGAGUACGGUAGAGGGGGAUGGAAUUCCGCGUGUAGCAGUGAAAUGCGUAGAUAUGCGGAGGAACACCGAUGGCGAAGGCAAUCCCCUGGACCUGUACUGACGCUCAUGCACGAAAGCGUGGGGAGCAAACAGGAUUAGAUACCCUAGUAGUC
rnacentral:rRNA from 1 species